rnacentral:rRNA from 1 species
GAACGAACGCUGGCGGCAUGCCUACCACAUGCAAGUCGAACGAGACCUUCGGGUCUAGUGGCGCACGGGUGCGUAACGCGUGGGAACCUGCCCUUAGGUUCGGAAUAACUCCCCGAAAGGGGUGCUAAUACCGGAUAAUGUCUUCGGACCAAAGAUUUAUCGCCUUUGGAUGGGCCCGCGUUAGAUUAGCUAGUUGGUAGGGUAAAAGCCUACCAAGGCGACGAUCCAUAGCUGGUCUGAGAGGAUGAUCAGCCACACUGGGACUGAGACACGGCCCAGACUCCUACGGGAGGCAGCAGUGGGGAAUAUUGGACAAUGGGCGAAAGCCUGAUCCAGCAAUGCCGCGUGAGUGAUGAAGGCCUUAGGGUUGUAAAGCUCUUUUACCCGGGAUGAUAAUGACAGUACCGGGAGAAUAAGCGCCGGCUAACUCCGUG